GAGAUGUUAUGUCUGAAGAUAUUGUAUUGUUACAUACUUCAUGAACUGUAUAAUUUUUUAACAAUACCGAGAAGCAACAGCCUCUACAUCAAUGAUUCCAGUUUUGGGCGAUUGUGACCCCUAUUAAAGAGGACCAAGCAAAGUGAGAAUAAGCGUUUGAUCGACAGCUAUAGGGCUAAUGUCGAAAGGUACUCGUUCAAAAAACAUUGUUAUAACGUAACGCAAUAAAUAUAAAGGAAGAACUAAAUGCAGCACUGUGGAUUGGUUCCCUCAUCUUUGGAAAUGUAAAAUACAAAAUAUAAACUAAUUAAGAAGAUAAUGGACUUUAAAUUUGAUGGAUUUUUACGCCGCCAUAUUUUAAAAUGAGAGAACCCACCACAUUCAUAAAUCAAACAAUUGUAGCUGCGGUUAGCGGCCACAUUAGCUGUGGUUUGGAAUAGGUUAACAGGAAGUCGUAAUACAGAAAGAAUUCUCAAAAUCAGAAAUAGCGCCUUCGUAACCAUAAAAUCAUUAAUAAAAACUGCGAUAUAAUGGGCAAAUCAGAUCAUAUCCUCCAUCAUUGCCACGAAAUUGCUCAAAAAGGAACCUCCGAUUUAUUUUUCCAGCGUUCCUGGAGAAACCUACACACUUUUAAGAGAAACUUGCUUUGGCUAAAAUAGGAGCAACCCUCAAAAUUUGUACAGAAAAAAAUAAAAAGUCCUUUGAUGUUUGUCCUAUUUAGUCCUGGACAACAGAAAAGAUUAAAUUGUUGCACAUCACUUCCUGUUUACACCGUAU